GAUUAGUUAAAAAUAGGUGUGGCUGUCUGUUGCCUUUAACUAGUGAUGGAUUUGAAUCUGGUUAACUUCACCAGCUGUUAACAUAUUAUUCUCUAAUAAUUUUGCUGCUAGGUUUGGUUAUUAGUUAUUUCUUCCUCUUUAAAGUUGCUUGUUUCCUUUGGCUUGUGUGAGGUUUGAUUGAUUAAUAACUACAAUCCGAUAAUUAUUGAAUCAUCUGAAGAAACAAGUCUUGCCCAAAUAUUUUAAGGGGUCCAAAACUUUAGCAAAAUGACUUUUAACUUCAGCCUCCUCUAAAUGAUUUUUGAACAUUUCCUUGUUAUAUAUGAGAAAUAUAUUAAAAGAAAUUUGCCUCUUUUCUUUUACUACUCUAAAUCAGUAGGGCUAUUAGCAUCAUUUGAAUUACUGGGUUUGCUAGAAGUGAAUUUGAAAAAAAGUAAGGAUCUUUAACUUCACUUCUUUUAAAAGUGUUUAUAGAAAAUGGUUUUGCCCCUCUUUUGUGAUUCAAUCUACAUUUUUAAGCCUGUCUUGAUAAGGUUGAGAAGCAAAGACUAAUAGCAUUUACCUAGGGCUACAUUACUUUAGUAUACUGUUGCAUGUUGAGUAUAAGGUCCUGAAGAGUUAAGUUUGGUGCCUUGAUUUACUAGCUCCUUGCCCAUCACUACUUAAUACUCAGUCUUAGAUUUAUUGAAGAAAUUAGGUAAGGUCUUAGUUUGUUGAGUUGAAAGACUGGAGGCUCUGGGACCCCACCCCCAAAAUUCUUGAACCAAGACUACCUUUCCAAAAAAAUGAUCUGUUUUUAUUUAUUCAUUAUAACUCCCUCCCCUUUAGAUCUUAAUCAUGGCCUGUAGCAAGUAGUGUCCUCCCUUUGUUAAAACAAAAAAGUGAUUUUUGGUAUUUCAGAGAUUUUGAACUGAUCUAUGCUCUUGAAGAUUGUCAUGAUUCUCUCUAAGUCGGUUCAUCUCUCUGAUCUUAACUUAUGUUUAAAUGUCAUUUAAUUCAAAGGCUGUUAAAUGGCUGAAUCUGUUAAUUUGAAGUAAUGUGUGUUCUAAGUUUGAGUUUUCUUUUGUUUAGUCUUAAUAGUAUUUAUCAAAUAUCUUGGAAAGUUACUUGCCAUAUGUGUGGUUGAUUUUUUCAGAAUGUUAGUCCCUUAUGAGAUUUUAUUUAGUGAUGUUCAUGACCCUAACUCUUUACUAUGUUUCAUCCACCAUAAGUCUAUGAAUCUCCAUGAAUCUAUGUCCUUAGAACAACAUGAUUUUUUUAAAACCAGUCAAGUGUAGAUCCCUGGUUCCUUUUUCCUACAAGUGUGAAAUUUCUUUUUACUCAGUGUCAGUUCAAUUGCAUAGCAUGCUAAAUAGUUAAAUGAUGUGUGUUCUCCUCAUUUCUUUUGUCUCUUGUUCGUAUGGUGUCUUGAAUGUAAUCUCCGUGUUUGUCUAAAUGAAGAUGGUAUAUUGAUAAAUCCAAUGAUUUUUCUUUGACUAAUAUACUGUGAAAAUUGCUUAUGUAUUUUAUCUGUUUAAGUACAUGAAGCCUGGAAAGAACGUGUCAAAAUCUCAUAUGCUAAAUGAAAACAUUAUGGAACUUUGUCAAAAUAUAUGUUCAGUUUGAUAGUUUUCAUACUUUAAAUUAUACGGCUGACUUGUAUGAAGAAUUUGUUUAAUUUCCCAUGUUUUUUUUUUGUAUCCUGCAUUCUAAUUUUUUUUCUCCUCGUCUUUGUUUACAUGUGCACCCUGGGAGCAAAUGGAGUCUUAAUUCGGGACUCUUGCAAACUUGGAGUCUUAACCCAAGACUCUCCUAUUACCGAGCAUGGAGUCUAUUCCGCAGAUUCUCUUUUAAAUGCAUCAAAUCUGUCAAGAGGAAUGAGCAAAAUUGCUCGGGACUUAUUUUGGCUAUCUUUCUAUUACCAGUCAUUCCAUUUUCAUUUUUUAUUUUAUUGCAUUUUUUUAAUUUAUUUGUUAAACACAAUCGCUGGUUUGUUUAUGCUUGGUGUAUCCCUGUUUUGGGAUUUUAGGAUAAACUUAGUUAGUGUAGGUUUUAUUCUAUCGUUUAGACUAUCCCAAUCAUUUAUUAUUAAUAAAGUAAUAUUUUCAUCA